UGCUUGGGGAACUGCCCAGUCGAGGGGACGAACUAUUGGAACGAUAGCUAAUACCGCAUACGCCCUACGGGGAAAGGGAGGGAGUUCUUCGGAACCUUUCGCGAUUGGAUGUACCCAAGUGGGAUUAGCUAGUUGGUGAGGUAAUGGCUCACCAAGGCAACGAUCCCUAGCUGGUUUGAGAGGAUGAUCAGCCACACUGGAACUGAGACACGGUCCAGACUCCUACGGGAGGCAGCAGUGGGGAAUAUUGCACAAUGGAGGAAACUCUGAUGCAGCCAUGCCGCGUGUAAUGAAGAAGGC
rnacentral:rRNA from 1 species